rnacentral:rRNA from 1 species
GAUGAACGCUGGCGGCGUGCUUAACACAUGCAAGUCGAACGGUGAAGCCCAGCUUGCUGGGUGGAUCAGUGGCGAACGGGUGAGUAACACGUGAGCAACCUGCCCCUGACUCUGGGAUAAGCGCUGGAAACGGCGUCUAAUACUGGAUAUGUGACGUGACCGCAUGGUCUGCGUUUGGAAAGAUUUUUCGGUUGGGGAUGGGCUCGCGGCCUAUCAGCUUGUUGGUGAGGUAAUGGCUCACCAAGGCGUCGACGGGUAGCCGGCCUGAGAGGGUGACCGGCCACACUGGGACUGAGACACGGCCCAGACUCCUACGGGAGGCAGCAGUGGGGAAUAUUGCACAAUGGGCGCAAGCCUGAUGCAGCAACGCCGCGUGAGGGAUGACGGCCUUCGGGUUGUAAACCUCUUUUAGCAGGGAAGAAGCGAAAGUGACGGUACCUGCAGAAAAAGCGCCGGCUAACUACGUGCCAGCAGCCGCGGUAAUACGUAGGGCGCAAGCGUUAUCCGGAAUUAUUGGGCGUAAAGAGCUCGUAGGCGGUUUGUCGCGUCUGCUGUGAAAUCCCGAGGCUCAACCUCGGGCCUGCAGUGGGUACGGGCAGACUAGAGUGCGGUAGGGGAGAUUGGAAUUCCUGGUGUAGCGGUGGAAUGCGCAGAUAUCAGGAGGAACACCGAUGGCGAAGGCAGAUCUCUGGGCCGUAACUGACGCUGAGGAGCGAAAGGGUGGGGAGCAAACAGGCUUAGAUACCCUGGUAGUCCACCCCGUAAACGUUGGGAACUAGUUGUGGGGUCCAUUCCACGGAUUCCGUGACGCAGCUAACGCAUUAAGUUCCCCGCCUGGGGAGUACGGCCGCAAGGCUAAAACUCAAAGGAAUUGACGGGGACCCGCACAAGCGGCGGAGCAUGCGGAUUAAUUCGAUGCAACGCGAAGAACCUUACCAAGGCUUGACAUAUACGAGAACGGGCCAGAAAUGGUCAACUCUUUGGACACUCGUAAACAGGUGGUGCAUGGUUGUCGUCAGCUCGUGUCGUGAGAUGUUGGGUUAAGUCCCGCAACGAGCGCAACCCUCGUUCUAUGUUGCCAGCACGUAAUGGUGGGAACUCAUGGGAUACUGCCGGGGUCAACUCGGAGGAAGGUGGGGAUGACGUCAAAUCAUCAUGCCCCUUAUGUCUUGGGCUACACGCAUGCUACAAUGGCCGGUACAAAGGGCUGCAAUACCGCGAGGUGGAGCGAAUCCCAAAAAGCCGGUCCCAGUUCGGAUUGAGGUCUGCAACUCGACCUCAUGAAGUCGGAGUCGCUAGUAAUCGCAGAUCAGCAACGCUGCGGUGAAUACGUUCCCGGGUCUUGUACACACCGCCCGUCAAGUCAUGAAAGUCGGUAACACCUGAAGCCGGUGGCCUAACCCUUGUGGAGGGAGCCGUCGAAGGUGGGAUCGGUAAUUAGGACU